AGACAGGUGACUGAGAGCUGGGAUGCCUGAGGCCUGCCUAGGCUGAGUCACCUAGUAAUGUUGUUGUCAUUGUUCCUGUUGAAGUCCCAGCUCAGUGUCACAGACCUUUGUGGAAGCAACAACAGCUCCCAUCGUUCCAACCUUUCUGGAGAAGCCGUGGCCUGAUGGUGAGCCGAAUGGGCUGGGGGGGGAGAAGAAGGCGGCUGGGGCGGUGGGGAGAUCUGGGGCCUGGAUCGGUGCCCCUCCUCCCCAUGCCACUGCCACCUCCUCCUCCUCCUUCAUGCCGGGGACCUGGGGGAGGGAGGAUCUCCAUCUUCUCUCUGUCCCCUGCCCCUCAUACAAGAAGCUCCCCCUCCUCAUUUUCCCCUCCCACCGCAGGGCCCCCUUGCUCAGUGCUACAGGGGACAGGGGCUUCUCAGUCUUGCCACAGUGCUCUCCCUAUCCCAGCCACCCCCCCAACACAGGCUCAACCUGCAAUGACACCUGCCUCUGCAUCUCCCUCCUGGGGAUCCCACUCCACCCCACCCCUGGCCCCGGCAACCCCCACUCCCUCACAGCAGUGCCCCCAGGACUCUCCUGGGCUGCGGGUAGGCCCUUUGAUCCCUGAACAGGAUUAUGAGCGGCUGGAGGACUGUGACCCUGAGGGGUCCCAAGACUCACCCAUCCACGGGGAGGAGCAGCAACCCCUGCUUCAUGUCCCUGAAGGGCUCCGAGGCUCCUGGCAUCACAUCCAGAACCUGGACAGCUUCUUCACCAAGAUCUACAGCUACCACCAGCGGAAUGGCUUUGCCUGCAUCUUGCUGGAGGAUGUCUUCCAGCUGGGACAAUUUAUUUUCAUUGUCACCUUCACAACCUUCCUCCUUCGAUGCGUGGAUUACAAUGUUCUCUUUGCCAACCAACCAAGUAACCAUACCAGACCUGGGUCGUUCCACAGCAAAGUGACCCUGUCAGAUGCCAUCCUACCCUCAGCCCAGUGUGC
rnacentral:lncRNA from 1 species